ACCUUCUUGUAUAAGCACUGUGCUAAAAUUGCAGAAACUAGGAUUAUGUCUUGGUUUUUGUAAUAAUGCUAGUAGAGUAUUCUUAGCU
ensembl:snoRNA LOC120096127 small nucleolar RNA SNORA81